rnacentral:rRNA from 1 species
GCCAGACUCCUACGGGAGGCAGCAGUGGGGAAUAUUGGGCAAUGGGCGCAAGCCCGACCCAGCAACGCCGCGUGAAGGAAGAAGGCUUUCGGGUUGUAAACUUCUUUUCUCAGGGACGAAGAAAGUGACGGUACCUGAGGAAUAAGCCACGGCUAACUACGUGCCAGCAGCCGCGGUAAUACGUAGGGGGCAAGCGUUAUCCGGAUUUACUGGGUGUAAAGGGGGCGCAGACGGCGAUGCAAGCCAGGAGUGAAAGCCCGGGGCCCAACCCCGGGACUGCUCUUGGAACUGCGUGGCUGGAGUGCAGGAGGGGCAGGCGGAAUUCCUGGUGUAGCGGUGAAAUGCGUAGAUAUCAGGAGGAACACCGGUGGCGAAGGCGGCCUGCUGGACUGCAACUGACGUUGAGGCCCGAAAGCGUGGGGAGCAAACAGGAUUAGAUACCCUUGUA